rnacentral:rRNA from 1 species
CAGUUCGGACUGCAGCCUGCAACCCGGCUGCACGAAGCUGGAAUCGCUAGUAAUCGCGGAUCAGCAUGCCGCGGUGAAUACGUUCCCGGGCCUUGUACACACCGCCCGUCACACCAUGGGAGUUUGUAACGCCCAAAGUCGGUGGCCUAACCUUUAUGGAGGGAGCCGCCUAAGGCGGGACAGAUGACUGGGGUGAAGUCGUAACAAGGUAAC